rnacentral:lncRNA from 1 species
UCCAAACGACCCACCCCCUGAAUUCGUUUCCCCCUUACACCCCACCCCAAAUUGCCGGACUUCAAACCACCUCACACACCUCUUUCACAUAAAACAGCUGCGACACUCCUUCUGUCCAGAUCGAGCACAUCCCUCUCACCCAUCGUCCCUACCGCUAGAAUAGAGAAACACUCACGCACAGAGAGAUAGCGAGAGAGAGAGAGAGAGAGAGGGAGAGAGAGAGAGAGAUUGAUCAGAAAAAUUCAAAAAGAAAAGAAAGAAAAAGCAAGUUCCGUUUAUUAUCUGUGGACUUUGUUCGAAAUGAAUUCAAAUAUGUUGGACGAUUGAGUUGAGGUGCUGUUCAAGUUGGGUUCAUUCGAGUUUCUAUCGAGGUACUGUCUGUUGAUUUUUCGAUUCGAUUUUUGCUGAUUUCAUUUGACGCUGUCAAUUUCCGACUGUAAUUGUCGCUUCGUUUCAAUUCGUGUAGUUGCUGCAUUUCAAUUAAUCGGAAAGUUAAUUUUAGGUUACUUCUAAUCUUUUUUAUUUCAUUUUGGAUCUGAACAUGAUUUGAGCUACCGUUUGUGGUUGUAACUGCUGCGCUGGUAUUUUAGGAGUGAGCUUACUUAAAAGUUGAUUUUGUGAUUGUUGGAAGUUUGAUUCUUGUUAUGACUCCACCUUUGUAACUGAUUGAAGUUUGUUUGUGACUAUUAUUUCUAUUCCUAUUACUCAAUUACGGUACACUCUAUUGUUUCUAUUCCUAUAACAUAUCCAAGAGGCCAGGCACCAAAAUCCACUAAAAAUAAAAUACAAUAACCAAUCUCUUUAUGCUUGAAUACUAGUUGAUUAUUGUUACAAAAGCUUAUGUCUAAUUCAAGCGACAAAAAUAGGGGCGAACGAACUUGAGAUUUUGAAUGAUGUCAUAUAACAUUUGUUUGGAUGUGCUGAUUUUGGUUCUGAAUUAUUCUGUUAAUGAGCCGUUUUGAUAAAUGUUUAAGCCAUAAAGGCCAUUCUGAAAUAAGGAAUGUGUAGCCUUGCAACUCAUUUGGGUCAGCUGCCAGCCCAAUGCCAAUUCAGCUGAACGCUUAGCUUCAAAAUAGUUUUUUAGUUAGUUCAAACAUUAGCCUAAAAUAAUUAGAAUUCCUUUAAGCCUUCCUUAGUUAAUUAGACUCUUAACAUUGGCUUGAGAUGUGCCAUAUUAACCAACCAACAAUUUAUGGCCCUCAAAACUAAAUUUAGAAACACUUUUAAUAGAAUAAUUCAAGUCGUGUCAUGCCAAACAAAAUCUCAAAAACUCAUGGCCUUCACUUAAUAAACUUUAAUCCUUUAGAAAUCGAGGUGUGCCAUUUAGUGAUUUUUUCAUGGCGCUCGCGAACUUGAAAACGCGUAGUUGCUUUAGGCGCGCAAUUUAAAUUAAUUUCCUUAAACUCGAGUGUGCAUGUCAUGUGACCCUAAUUCAACUUCAACAAUGUUAAAUAAAAUGUAUCGUGGACCGCGGGUGCAUUUCAUGUGGCAUGGUUCAAGAUGUGUUUUAGAUAAUGUUGAAUCUUCCUAAAAUUAAUUAAAAGCGGUUAAUAAGCGAAAAUAUACCAUAGGCUAAAACAUGUAUUAAAAUUAGAUAAUAGGCCAAUUAUAACAGUUGAGCGAUCAUGCUAGAACCACGGAACUCGGGGAUGCCUAAUACCUUCUCCCACAUUAACAAAAUUCCUUACCCGGAUUUCUGUAUUCACGGACUGUAAAACAAAGUCAAUAUUUCCUCGAUUCGGGAUUUAAACCGGUGACUUGGGACACCAUAUAUUAUCUCAAGUGGUGACUCUACACUUAAAAAAUAAUCUUGUUUCGAUUGACACUUUAAGUUGGAAAAAACUCCCUUAUAACCUUCCGGGGUAGGAAAAAGAAGGUGUGACAUGAAUAAUUAUUGGAUAUAAAAUAUUGAAUAAAUUAGAAAAUAAAUUGAUAAUAAUAUGGAAAAAUAUCAAUUACUAUAAAAGGUAAUUUCGAAGGUAUUUAUGUAAAUUUAAAAAUAGUUUGAGGAAAAUUUGAUAUCAACAUCCAGGAGGCGUUGGAGCCUCUUGGGUUCAUCCCCUUAGUAAAUGCUUCAUCUGCUCAUUCAUCUGGUACGGGCGACAGCAACAUCCUUUCUUUCUAAAACCUGGUCACGAAUUCCUGCAGCAAUUCAGACUCUCCUUGCAUAUUUUUGAAUAUGCCCGCUUUAGUGUAAGCAAGAUUUUUUUCGACCGGACUGACCUGGCAAAGAAGUAUCUUCCUAUAGAUAGCUUCUUGCUUAUAAAAGAUUUAUAAUGAGAAUUAGCUGAAGCUUAUUCGGGAUUGAUCUUUCUUAUCCGAGUCUAAUCAAUAUCUAUGCCAUUGUAGGUGUAACACCGGUAGUAGUGAUUGAAAGAGCUUAUGCGUCAUGAUCGCGAUUUUUGGGCUUGUACCUUCCCGUCCCCAGCAUGGGCCUUGAUGAAAAAGUCUGCGAGCAUCACAAAGGAAUCACUAAGUAUUCGGGUAAGAGUGAGUACCAUAUCUUGGCUCCUUCGCGAGAGUUUCUUUGAAUUUCUUCAGUAGGACUGGUUCAAUUUUGUGUAUAUCCAAAUCAUUUCCCUUCACCGUUAUUGUAUAGGUGGUGAUGUGCUUUUGAGGGUCUGAAGUCCCAUUAUAUUUUGGUACAUCUGGCAUUUUGAACCUCUUUGGAAUCAACACUUGUACCACGCUUGUUUUUAACGGCAUCUUGAUGUAUUUCUGUGAGUCUGGUCCCUUCAAAACUAGUCGUAGAUCUGGUAUUUGGUUCAUUCGGUAGUUUAUUCCCCUCAUAAACCGCAUGAGAUUAGUUUUGAAUUGAUCAUUAUUGUUUUUGUCACUAGAUCCUCUGCCUCCCCCCCCCCCUUCCCGGCCCCAUCGAAGUCGACCUCACCCCUCGGGUGUUGUUAUCAAAUCUUUAUGCUGUUUGAUUUACGGGAGCAUCAGGAGGAACUAGGCCUCUUUUAUUUGCGUUGUUGGAAGUACCCCAUAACGCUUAUCUCAAUUUCGUCAUGGCCUGGUCUUGCCGUGAGAAAUGUCCCAUGAUAGCUUUUUGUUAUUUAAUCAGGAUCCUCACUGUUUUUGCAACGUUCUCAUCCUCCACAUCAUUAGGAUUCGGUUCUUGUUAUGUAGCAUUGAUAUCGCCCGAUAUGAACCAGUUUUGCUACGUCCUCCUCAUUGCAAGUGUCACUGAUUAAGCCCUCGCAUUGAGGUAGGUUCUCUUGUGCCUCAACGUUGUGUGCAAUGUUGACAUCGUUAACUGUCAUUUUAUACGAUUUUUUCUAAAAACAAAAAAAUCAAAUAUAUUAAUAAUAGAUGCAAGGAUCAACUUAAUUACGCAACUUUUUAAGUCCCAUAGUGGGUGCGCCAAAUUGUUUACUGGUAAAAUAGUACAGUUGAAUUUAUAGCAUGGUUUAUAAACAAGUGAACUGAUUCAAUUCCAAAAUGAUAAAUAAAUCAAAUAAAAUGCAAGACUUAACAUUGAAAUCGAAAUAAAAUAGCAGCCAGCUUGAUUUUGGGAGCAAGGCUUCCGUAGGCAAUAAUAAGAAUAUCGCUAGCUAGACAGAAAAAAGUAUUAUUUAUCUUGGAAUAAUGUGUCGCCUAAGUUUGUCAGAAACUUCGUGUGUUACAAUGGUUGUUGAAGUCACCAAUAUAUGUGUGUGUUCAUUGGUUUAAGGUUCUGGAUACUUUCAGGAGGAUUAAAAAGAAAAAAGGAAAAGAAUUCAAAAUCUCCGUAUCUGGAUAUUUUAUUUUUCGAAUACUUGGCCUGUUGGAUUUUUCUGCGAUGAAAAUAUCCCUAGGAGCAUAUAAAAGAUGGCUCGCCCUAUUGAGUUUUGGGUUAAAUAUGAAAGUUCGAGAUAGUAUGCAUCCAAAAAUUAAAUUUCUUUACUUUGGAAAUGAGACGAGUGUGAUAUUCCUAUUGUUUAUUCAAUAUUUGUUGGUUAAUUUGUUCUAAACUAUUCAACCUGGUCUCAUAUAAUAGGACCAAACAAUCCUCAAACCUAGCCGACAUUCUUAAAGGCUUAAACGGUCUCUAUCUCAAGCAGUAACUUUUUUUCAAUUGAUUCCUCUAUAUAUUUUAUUAAUUAGUAACAAGUUAAUUUAUUGAGUUGCAUUCCGUGUAGCUUAUAAUCAACUUGUGAUUAGUUUAUCUGUUUAUGUGUCCGCUUGAUUGAUACUUAUAAGAAACAAAAAAAUAUCACAUUCUGACCGUUUUCAAAUUUGAUUAAUUAUUUGAAUUCAUCGUAGUUUAUUUGUUGAAGCAUUAUUAGUAAGUGUAUCACUUAUUGUCAAACGUUGUGAAAUAUGAAAUUUAUUAGAAAAUGUGUUUUUGAGUUUAAGUUUCUAUAUAUUACUAGUGAAAAAAAAUUCACUAUCAAACAACCUAAAUAUAAUUACAAAUAAUUAUCUAUAAUAAGUAAAAUUAAUAAUCCACUAUAUAUGAGGAUAAAAUUUUAUAGCAUGCUUAAAUACAUUUACCAUAUUAAUUAAAAUUUUAUAUUGUAACCAUAUGCAAAUUAAAUAUUGUUGCUCUCAAAGGCACACGCAGUAAUACGUACACGUACAAGUAAUAAAGUGAUAAAUCAAGAAUCAAAACCAUAAAGACUUGUAUUAACUUCCUAGCUACUAGUUUUACCAAAAUUAUUAUUCAGUCGAGUCAAUCAGAAUUCAAAAGUGUGAUUAUACUAAGCAAUAAUUUAACAAGUAACUAAUUAAUCGAGCAGCAAAAUAAUUAUUGUGCAUUCAGUAGAGAUAAAUAUUACAGGGUUGUGCUCGAUUCAGUAAUCCUAUUCUGUUCUAAUUAACUCUCCCUUUCAUAGAAUUCGCUCAUGGCUGCUAAUUAAUCGAAUAAUUGCUCUAGUAGUAUUCUCCCGAAUUACUACUCGCCUAUUCAAAAUAGAUUAAUGGAUAUAUUCCUAUGAAAUCAAUAUUUUAAGAAUGCAUUAAUAUUAUGAUAUUGAAUUGAGCAUGUUGACUAGGUUUAUUCCUUUCCUAACCACAAAUUCGUCUUCCACUCAGAGUUAAGAUCAUGCCCUCUUCAACUCUUCUCUAAUCUAGACGUAGCAAUCCAAAUCAUAGCAUAGAUAAUAAAAAGAACUUAACUGCUGGCCAGAAAAUUAAGCAAUUAAUUAUAAAAUUGAAGAAACAACCAUAUAUUAACAAAUAAUAAUCAAGGUCAAGUCAAUAUCAAACAACAAUAUUCAUGGCUAAAUCACAACCCUAGAACUUUGAGCUUUAUCCACUCAUGAUAAAACUAAAAUAAUUUUACAAGUGUUGAACAGUUGAGAAUACUAAAAAUGAUGAAGAAAAACUAAGAAUCUUUGCUUCCGAGUGUUCCGCGCAUGUAUUUUUCUCACAAAAUGACGUCUCCCCUCACAAAAUAGUUUAAGGCUUACUUUUAAAGGAGUUAUGGUGGGUAGGAUAAAUUUCCGUCACCAACACCCCGGGAUAGUGUGGGGCGCUUGCCCUGGCAUUGGAAAAUUAUAAGGUCUGCCUUGUGCACGACAUGUAGCGCCCCACGCUAGCCUGGACGCUACUUGUGGCAUUUUUCCCAUUUCGUUCCCUUUUUUUCUUCAAGUCAUGCACCUUCGUUCCACAUUGCCUCCGAAUGUUUCCUAUACAUAAAAAUAUCACGAAUUAGCACAAAUCAUUAUAUUACACAUUUAAAAUUUAUUAAUUAGCAUAAAUUUAUAUAUUACACAUCCAAAAUCUGUGAAAUAUGAGUAAAAUACGCUGCAAUUUACAUGUAAAUAUACAUACUCUAAGUCAAAUAUCAUAUACCUUACUAAAAGAUCAUGUGAACAUCUUGAUAAUUUUGUCCUUGAGCAUUCUUUUAUUUGAUAAAAAGAAAACAAAAGAAAAUACUCAUUUAAUUUUCCAUGGAUUAAAAAAGAGUAGAAAAUGUCAACCGGAUUAAAAAUCACUAAGACUCAUAACACCAAGAUUGCAAUUGUAACCUACUAAUCACUUAUUGUCCUAUUUUUUGUUUUAUAUUAUAUGAUAUUAGUUUCUAUUAAUACUUUUUUUAAAAAUAGUAAAGUAUAUUUUUACCUAACUAAAAUAAUGCGAUUAUAAACUUCUUAUUGAAAUAUCAUGUGUAAAACCACAAGCUUCGAGUAUUUUGCUUUACUACUGUAUUAUUGUAAAGAUAUUGUUGUGUCACGACCCUAGUUCAUCAAUUGUGAACAUGUCAAGCACCUAGUCUUCACGACUAGGUAAGUGUAACACAUUGCGGAAGUAACAACACUUACGAAAUUUAUAAUCGAAAAGCGAAAUUACAUGAAUAAUGUAUAUAGUUUCCGCCUGGCACAUACACUUUAGCACUUGACAUUCUGAAACUAUCCCAAACACAUGAAAACCCACAUGUAACACAAGCUAGAGUAUUACAUAAUACUGAUCUAAUCACCCGGAAAAGUCUAUAACAAGGAAGGACAGAAUAUCAUCUAAAUAACUAAAGGGGUAGAGUGAUAGGGAGACUCUCGGGUCUCCGUACGCGGCAGAUAUACCUCAAGUCUCCGAAAUGCUCCCUGCAGCUACUGAUAAUGCGCCUGCGUAGAGGUACCUGGAUUUGCACAUGAAAAACAAGCGCAGAAGAGGCGUGAGUACACCACAACGGUACUCAAUAAGUGCCAAGCCUAACAUCGGUUGGGUAGUGACGAGGAAAGAUCGAGGCCCUAUUAAGAUAAAAACAUAAUAAUCAAUAGAAUAAGGAAAGACCAUAUGGAUAUAAUCUACUGCGAGAAUCUAGCAAAGUAAUGAAUAAGACAGUAACCGAAAACUAACACAGUAAGUAAAUAGAAGUGCAAAUCACCACCGGAUAUCUAUCAUCGGGGAUCUCCUUGUAUCCUGAGGAUCUCUUGGUAUUCUCAUCAUAUACUCAAGGGAUCUUCUAGCAUCCCAAAGAUCUCCUAGUAUCCUCCAUUUUUACAUAAGGGAUCUCUUAGUAUCCCGAGGAUCUCUUAUUAUCCUUCAUUUUUACGCAAGGGAUAAGGUAUCCCAAGGAUAUCCUGGUAUCCUCCAUUUUACAAUCAUAUAUGCGUCAGGGAUCUCUUGGUAUCCCACUCUCUCAGUCAUAGAACCGUAGUCUCGGUACUCAAUAAGUGCAAAGCCUAACCUCGAUCGGGUUGUGACGAGGAAAGGUCGAGGCCCUACUGAGAUAAAAACAUAAUAAUCAAUAGAAUAAGGAAAGGCCAUAUGGGGAAUAAUCUACUGCAAGAAUCUAGUAAAAUAAUAAAUAAGACAUUAGCUGAGAGCUAACACAGUAAGUAAAUAGAAAUGCAAAUCACCACCAGAUAUCAAUCAUCGAGGAUCUCCUCGUAUCUCGAGGAUCUCCUGGUAUCCUCAUCAUAUACUUGAGGGAUCUCCUAGUAUCCUGAGGAUUUUUUAGUAUUCUCCAUUUUUACACAAGGGAUCUCCUAGUAUCCCGAGGAUCUCUUAGUAUCCUUCAUUUAUACACAAGGGUUCUCUUAGUAUCCCAAGGAUCUCCUAGUAUCCUCCAUUUUUUAAUCAUAACUGUGCCAUGGAUCUCUUGGUAUCCCGCACUCUCAGUCAUAGAACGAACCACAUACAAAGGGAGUUAUCGAAAUGCCAUCCCGUAGUCCCAAUUCGUAAUACCACAUAAUUAAAAUAAGAUGAAGUGCUAAGUAAGAACAAUUAACAAAAUUUCUAGUCUAGCAUGCUUCACGUAGGACAGGUAAUACAAUUUAAGCAAUUAAGCAAGUAAGUCAGCUAAACAUGCUUAUCCUAUGCUAACACAAGUUAAAUUACUUUUAGAAUAGGCAAAUUCCCAAGAAAACACAGUUAAAUAUUCUAAGUAAAACGGAUUUUCAACAACCAGUAUAAGUACGCUUGUCGCCUCAUGCACCGAGCAUCUAAAAUAACAAGUAAUAGAUCCUAAGGGGAGAGGUCUCCCACACAAAGUUAGACAAGCCACUUACCUCGAAUCGGUGCAAAAAUUAAUAAGGAAUGAUGCCCUUGCCACGAGUAUCCGACUCCGAAUGGCCCAAAUCUAUUCAAACCAAUUACAUUUUGUAAAUAACAUCACAAGUAACUAAUUUCACUAUUAAAAUUAAAGCUAAGGCGCGAAAAAUAGGUAAAAUAACCAAAACGCCCUUCAAGACAACGUCUUGGAAUAAAACAAAAUUUAAAUUUUCAGAAACCUCAUACUCUCACGGCUCUAACCAUAUCAAAAUCUCCCAAACAAGAGGUCAAUUGCCCCCUCAAAACUCAAUAAAUAAGCUAAUGCCUUUUCACCAAAAUUCUCCCAUUUUUUAUCCUUAAUUUGAAUUUAAAAGAUGGAUUUAACUACUAGAUGCUGGAAUAGAACUAGAAAGGAUCAUAGAAACGUUACCCAGUAAUAUCCUCUUCGAAAUCCUCUCAAAAUCGCCUUUAUCCAAGCUCCAAAUUGAAUUUUCCAACUUUUGAAAUUAAGUCUCGGAUAAACCCUUAUCAGAACGGUGAUUUCCGCUUUUGCGGUUCCACUUGAAGCGACUAGAGUCCGCUUCUGCGGACGAAUAAUAGCAUUUGCAGUUCCACUUAGGCGGAAAGGAGACCACUUCUGUGGUUUCCUGAGGAAUGGCUAAAAAAUGCUUCUGCAAAGAAAAUGCCGCUUAUGCGGAGCCACUUCUGUGGUUCCCAAGCCGUAGAAGCGGAAAUACCAAAAUAAUAAAAGUUCAGCUGCUGCACACUUUAGGAAACCAACCCAUUGGCCAUCCGAAACCAACCUGAGGCCCCGCGUGUUCAACCAAAAACACCAAUACCAUCUAAUGCCUCAUUUUUACUUGCACAAAUCCUUAAAACAUCUAAAACGACACCGGAAACCCGAUUAAAUCAAGAUUCAAUCCUAAGAACUUCAAGUUCAUCCAUAAUACGCUUUCGAUCCAAAACCUAGCCAACACUCGUCCGAUUGACCUAAAAUUUUGCAUGCACAUCCCAAAUAACAUGACGGUGCUACAGCAACUUUGGGAAUCGCGUUCCAACCCUUGGAUCAUAAAUUCUCUGUCAGACGGGAAACCUCCAAAUUCAAACAUUUGGAAUUUCUAGCCUAAAUGAGUUACAGACAUCCAAAAUACAUUCCGAACAUGCAACCAACCCCGAAAUCACCUAACGGAACCAUCGUAUUUCCAUUCUAAGGCCGUCUUCAUUGUGUUCCAAUUAUGGACCACUUUCCAACACUUAAGCUCUCAUUUAGGGAUUAAGUGCCCCAAAACACUUCGGAUCCUAACACUGAACGCACUGGAAAACCAAAAUAGAGGAAAUAAACAUCAGUUAAUGAAGGAACAGGCAUAUAUUCCAAAGACAACCGGUUGGGUCGUCACAUGUUGGCCCAAGCUCAGUUGAUGUUUUGAAGAAUGACAAAUGAACUCAGUGAAGGACCAUGCCCAUCUUAUGAACACACUUGUUAUGGCUCGUGCACAUGAGAUGCACGUGAAGAAGAUAAGUCUUUGGGAUCAAGCAGCAAUAUUUUCUGAACUGAUCGAAAAUAUUUCAUAUUGGAUAAGGAGAAGAAGUCUCCUUAUGAGAAAAGAACACAUCCGGAUAAGGGUUGGAGUUUGUAUUGGUCUAGUACUCAAACUCAAUAGAGGAUCAGAAAUUUAGUCACAAUCAAACUCUGAUUACUAACCUAAUAAAUAACUGAGUUGCUCUCUUUUACAGGUAUGCAGAUACGCAGAAGUUUAGCUAAAUUGAGGGCAAAAGAGCAACGAAAUUUUGCAAAUAAUUUAUGUGAGAUCAAGUGUGCACUCAUGCAGCUACUUGAACGAGAUAAAAGAACCACUUGCAUUGUGUUUAUUCUUAUUCUAGUUCAAUUAUAGUAGGUGAUUAAAACUUUUACCUUUCCAGCUUUCAUAGAAGCAAUUGUAUUAGGUACUUAUAGUAAUCAAGUUAGAGUUAACUUGAAGGUGUCAUAAUAGUUGAGGUUGUGAGCCACACUAGGAUUUGAGAUAAUCCUUAGGUAUACAAGAGUUUUGUAAAUAUUUUUUUGGCUCAUAGAGUUUAGUGGAUGUAUGGGAAAAUCCUACUAAGUAGUAGGUCGUUGUUCUUUUAGAUUUUGAGCCGGGUGUUUUCCACGUAAAAAUCUUUGUGUUAUUUUAUUUCUGUAUUUUGAUUCCGCAAGCAGUAGUAGUUAGAACACCUAGAAGAACCAAGUUCUUCUGGAUCAAAAAUAGGGUACCACACAAAUUAACCCCCCCUUCCUCCUCUUGUGUGGUAUUUACUUUUUGAACAUCAAUUGGUAUCAGAGCAGUUUAUCCUUGAAGAGGCUAACACCUUAGAAAAAGAUCAACAUGAGUGUACCACCUGGGAAUUGGGAAGAGCAAUCCACUGCCAGGCUUCCACUGUUCAAUAGACAGUAUUACUCAUAGUGGAAGAACAAGAUGAAGGAUCACAUCAUAGGGAAGACUAUGAACUCUGGCACAUAGACACUGAUGGUUUGUUGGCAAGUACAAUGAAAAAUGUGGAAGGAGUGGAUGUGCCAAAGCCAAGGGCUGACUGCACUGCCGAAGGUUUGAAAAAGUGGGAGAAAAAUGCAAAGGCCAAGAAAUGGCUUGUAUGUGGACUGGGUCCAGAUGAGGAAAGCCGAAUCCAAAGUUGUACUACUGCAAAAGAGGUAUGGGACACUUUGCAAGUGGCUCAUGAAGUAACACCUCAAGUGAAGAGAUCCAGAGGAACACUGUUGUAUUCUCAAUAUGAGAAUUUCACUAUGAAAGAUGGAGAAACGAUUCAAGAGAUGUAUACUAGGUUCACUACAAUGACAAAUGAAUUUAAGUCUCUUGGAAGAGUUAUUAUUGAAGAAGAAAAGGUUGAUAAGAUCUUGACAAGAGUUUUUCCAGUUGCUUGGGAAAGCAAAAUCACUAUCAUUCAGGAGUCCAAGAAUAUAGCCACUCUCGGACUGGACGAACUGACUGGAAAUCUUACUACUUAUGAACUGAGAAGGCAAACGAGAAAGUUGGAUACACCAUAGAAGGAGAGAAUCUUAGCUCUCAAUUUUAUAGAAGGUUCAGAGCUGGAAGAUGAUGAGAUGGCUAUGAUCACUAGAGAUUUCAAAAAUUAUCUGAUGAGAGGAAACGGUUCAUCAAGAGGUACAAACUUCAACAUGACAAGAGCUCCUGAGAAUCAGACCAAUGAUGGUUGCUAUAAGUGUGGUAAGACUGACCACAUGAUCCAAAAUUGCCCUCAAUGGGAAAUUGAGUGGAAGAAAGAAAGGGUUGAACAAAAAAUAGGAAGAAGGAAUAGGUUCAACCCAAAAGAAAAAAAGUUUCAACCAAGGCUAUGGUUGCGGAUUGGGGUGAAACCUCUGAUGAAGACUCAGAAGAUGAAGCUGAAAAAGAGCAAGCUCUUAUGGCCAUUGCAAAAUUAGAUGAUGAGAAUAAGAUAAGUAUUCCGCAUCUCAAGGACAAAAUUAAGUUUCUAUCCAAAGAAAUGUUGGCUGAGCUAUUAUUAGAUUUCAUUGAUGAGUCUGAAAUAGUUAACAAUGAAAAGGAAGUUCUGUCUAGGGAAUGUGUUAUCCUAAAAGAAAAAUGCAAAAGAAUAGAAUCUAGGGCUGAUGAGAGUGAUAAUAAAAAUGCUGAAUUGAAGAACCAGGUUCUUGAACAUGACAAUAGUAUUCUAGAACUUAGGUAAGAAAAUCUAAAACUGAAAAUAGGAAUAGGAAAGAAGAAAGUUGAUCACUCAUUUCUCGCUCUAGAAGAAAAUCUAGAAAAAAUGAAAGAUGAACUGUACAAGAAAGAUGAACUGAUUAAGGUUAUAAAAGAAGAUCUUGGAAAGGUGAAACAUGAACUAGAUAGAACUUGCAAAUGGAACAAAGCUUCUAAUGCUCUCUCCUAGUUGCAAGAGCAUCACAGUAUCAAUAAAAGAGGAUUUAGUUAUGGGACUCAAGCUAACUUGCAAAUGAAAAAAAGCUUCUGAUGCUCUCUCCUGGUUGCAAGAGCAUCACAGUAGCAAUAAAAGAGGACUUGGUUAUAGGACUCAAUCUCCAAAAUAGGAUCCCAAACACAAGUACCUCACACUUCCUGAAAAUAAGAUCUGUACACAUUGUAGUAAAACUGGCCAUUAUAAAAAUGAAUGCAAUGCAAAAGAAAAUGUCAGUCAAAGGAACAAAGCUUUUGUUAAAGAAAAAUUCAAGCUGCUUGGAUGGGAAAGAAAGAAUCUGAUUCAUUGUUUUGCCCAUAGAAAGGGACCCAAACUAGUUUGAAUUUCUAAGACAAACCCUUGAUUUGUUUUUGCAGGUUCAAGUGAAAGGGAGUAGCCAAAUAUGGUACAUGGAUAGUGGCUGCUCAUAGCACAUGACUGGGAGCAAGGACCAUUUUCUUUCACUUGAGAACCUUAAAGGAGUUAAUGUCUCCUUUGGAAAUGGACAUAAAGGUGAGAUCAUUGGGGUUGGAAAGGUAGGUAAAACAAACUCUCGUUCCAUUGAGAAUAUCUACUUGAUAGAUGACUUGAAAUACAGCCUAAUCGGUGUGUCAUACCUGUGUGACAGAGGUUACCUUGUAGCUUUCACCUCUACCAAAUGCUUUGUGAUUAACCUAACCACUGACAAGAUUGUUUUGCAGGGAAAAGGAGUUAACAAUAUUUACAUUGUAGAUUGUCACCUCUUUCAGAAAAUAAAAUCACUUGUUUAACUGUGCUAGUUAAUGAUCCCCUUCUGUGAAACAAAAGACUUAGCCAUGAUAGUCUAAAUCAGCUAAACAAAUUAGUCAUCUAGGACUUGGUGAUAGAGUUACCUAUCAAGUUCAAGGAAGACAAAGUUUGUGAGGCGUGUGCAAGGGGGAAACAUGUAAGGUCAUUCUUCAAAUCCAAUAAAACUGUAAUUACGUCCAAGAUGUUGGAACUGGUUCAUAUGGAUAUUUGUGGUCCAAUGAGAACCAUGAGCAGAGGUGGAAAGAAUAUGUGAUGGUGCUUGUUAAUGAUUAUUCUACAUUUACAUGGGUACAAUUUCCGAUAUCUAAAUAUGAGGCAUUUGAAAUGUUUACUGCCUUUUUCAGAAAUCCAUUAGGUCUGGUCAUGGAACUGAAUUUGAAAAUAUAAAAUUUGCUGAAUAUUGUGAUGAAAAUGGUACAUGUCACAACUUCUCUGCCACUAGGAAUCCUCAGCAAAAUGGAAUAGUUGAAAGAAAGAACAGGACCCUUGAGGAAAUAGCAAGGGCCAUGCUUCUCUCUAGUAAAUUACCCCACAGCUUAUGGGGAGAGGCUGUAAACACUGCAUGCUACAUAAUCAAUAAAUUCAUGACUAGACCUCUUGUUGAUAAAACUCCCUAUGAGUUACUUAAAGGGAGAAAACCAAACAUAUCCCAUCUUAGGGCAUUUGGUUGCAGGUGCUAUAUGCAGAAUAAUGGAAAAGACUCCCUAGGUAAGCUUUAUCCCAGAAGUGAUGAGGGAGUAUUCUUGGGAUAUUCUUCACUUAGCAAAGCAUAUAAAAUAUUCAAUAAAAGAACUUUGUGUGUAGAAGAAAGUGUGCUUGUUGUAUUUGACGAAACUAACAUUCUUUCUGAGAGGCAGGAACAUGAAGAUGAAGCCAUUGGUCCGGUAGAAGAAUUGAAUUAAGUAGCAUCAAAAGAAGGAACAGGUAAUGGAACAGGUUCUUCAACUCAGGGCAACCUAACAGAGGGAACUAAUCAGGGAGAAAAUGAAACAAACUCUCUACAAGAACCUGUCCAUGAACAUGUUCCUCAGUAGCAGAAUAGAGGAGAAUUAUCUAGUAGAAAUCAGUUUGUGGUGAAAUCUCACAAGUAUCAAAGUUCACAUCCCAUUGAGAACAUCAUUACUGAACCAACAUCUAGAGUCAAAACUAAAUCGCAACUAAGGAAUCUGUGUGCAUUUGAUGCCUUUCUAUCUCUUAUUGAACCUAAAAAUAUUAUUGAGGCUUUGCAGGAUGCAGGUUGGGUCAAUGCUAUGCAGGAGGAACUGAAUCAAUAUGAAAGAAGUCAAGUUUGGCAUCUAGUUCCUAGACCCAAUGACAGAUCAGUCAUUGGUACAAAAUGGGUCUUCAGGAACAAACUUGAUGAAUAUGGAACUGUUACAAGAAACAAGGCAAGGCUGGUAGUUCAAGGGUACAACCAAGAGGAACGCAUUGACUAUGAUGACACCUUUGCUCAUGUUGCAAGACUAGAGGAAAUUAGACUCUUUAUUGCCUUUGCGGCAUAUAUGGAAUUCACUCUACAUCAGAUGGAUGUCAAAAGUUCUUUCCUAAAUGGCUACCUCAAAGAAGAAGUGUUUGUGAAACAACCUACGGGAUUUGAAAGCAAGGAAUGUCCUGAGCAUGUGUACAAGCUGGACAAGGCUCUAUAUGGGCUCAAACAGGACCCAAGAGCUUGGUAUGAAUGACUAUCAAAAUUCCUACUGGAGCAUGGAUACAAAAGAGAUAAAAUUGACAGCACUUUGUUCCUAAGGGAAAAAGGUAAAGACCUCCUUGAUGUGCAAAUAUAUGUUGAUGACAUAAUAUUUGAGGCCAUUACUGACAGGUUGAGUAAGGACUUUGCAAAAAUGAUGGGAAGUGAGUUCGAAAUGAGUGUGAUGGGUGAACUAAACUUCUUCCUAAUAAGUAAACAAAACCUUCUCUCUCUUAAAUCCUCUGCUUUCUCUCUAGGAAGAAGGGUGAAUAGUUAUUCAGUCACUAUUCAUCAGGCAUAAUUCCGUGAGUUAUCAUCACGAAAUUUGUCACACAACAAGCUCCUUCUUGUGGUGAUCAUCUCCUUUCAAUUUUAUCCCAAAACUCUAAACGAAAUGCAAUAGAUCUUGAAUUUAGUGAUCGAGCUCACUGUAGACUCGAAUUUCAGUCUGCAAUCUGUAUCGUUACUCCUUUGUGAUGUGAAUUUUAUGGAUUGUUGAUAGUUGAUAUAUUCGGAUAGAGAUUUGCUAUUUAAAGCAAUAACAGAUCGUAAAAAUUUAUUGAAGGUACUGUAGCAUCGAGAUUUAAAUAAACUUUUCAGCAUUUUUGUAGCAGUGUUAUAGCGUGGAUAUGGAGGAUCUUUUCUAAAGUAAAACGCUACCAUGGAUGCUACGUCCUCUCCCCAGCAUCUGGCUAUGAGAGAGGUUCAUAACCUUCUAAAAAAUGCUCCAAAAGAAAACACAAAUCGAUCGUAUGCUUCAACACUUCAAGCUAAACGGUUUGCUCCGUCAAAAAUAGAGCUGUGUCCAAUUUUAGUUAACCAUGGUGAACCUGUAAUUGAAUUCACUAAGGAAGAGGUUAACAACAUCAUUAGGGAAGAAGGAUUGCAUCAGGCAGUUUUUAUUAAAUUUUCUUAUGGCAGACAUGAUCUACCGGAAGUGCGAAGAAUAUUUUCGUCGCAAUUUGAUAUUCAAGGUCAAUGUAACAUUGGACAUUUGGAGUUUCGUCAUCGUUAAUCAGUUUUGAUCUCUACAAUGAUUAUGUUCAUUUCCUUUCAAAUUCGACUGGAUAUCUUAAAUCCAAAGGCGACGAAUAUUUCUUCAGAAUAUUCCCAUGGUCUUUUGAAUUCAAUCCGAAGGAGGAGACGUUGAUGGUAAUCGUGUGGAUUUCUCUUCCAGGUCGGCCACCAAAUGCUUUUGCUAAGAGGUCGUUAUUGUCUAUAGCCUCAGCUGUGGGAAAACCUCUGGCUGUGGACAANNNNNNNNNNNNNNNNNNNNNNNNNNNNNNNNNNNNNNNNNNNNNNNNNNNNNNNNNNNNNNNNNNNNNNNNNNNNNNNNNNNNNNNNNNNNNNNNNNNNNNNNNNNNNNNNNNNNNNNNNNNNNUAGCACGGCAAGAGUUAAGGUUAUAGUUGAUCUUUUGGAUAAACAUCCUAAAAAGGUCAAGCUACAGAUUUUAGAUAGAGUUUCAGGUAAAUCUGUCGAGAUUCAUCAAGAAAUAGUGUUCGACAACCUGCCUAAGUAUUGUGUUUAUUGCAAGCAUCAAGAUCACGAUGACAAGGCGUGUAGAAAAGAAAAAGCUGGAGAAGAGGUGGUGGCAGAGGCACAUUUGGAUAGUGUUCUGUCUGGUCACGAGGUCGAUGAUUUAGACAAAUUACAAGGGGAUGCAAGGGACUAUCUAAAUGCUAAAAGAUCUGGACAAGGAGCUAAGGAUUCACAAGAAAAAGAUGGUAAUUCAGGAGUUGAAUUAAGAAAAGUCUCACAGCAGACUGUACAAAGUGCAUAAGGAGUGACUGUGGAAAAUAAUGCAGGCGUGAAGGAUGUUGUUGCUCGAAUUGAUUCUGUUACACAAACUGGCAUGGUAAAGGAUGUUUUGGAAAAUAAUGCAAGCGUGAAGGAAGUUGUUGCUCGAAUUGAUUUUGUUACACAAACAGGUAUGGUAAAGGAAGUCACGAAAAUGACUGCUGAUUUGAAGCCGACACAACAUACUCUGAAUGAUAGGGGUGAUGCUGAUCAACAUGAAAUGGCUAGGAAUCUUGUGGUUACUGGUAUAUCUGAUGCACCACAUGCAGCAGCUCCAGUUGAGUGUAUGGAGGAGGUAAUGAAGUUGGAUAAAGGACCUCCUAUGCCUUCUAGAGAUGUACCUGCUUCUACUAUCUAUGCACGAUCAUAUGUGCCUACUGCUGGGGCAAUGCAGUGUACUACAGAUAGUAUUUCUUCUAGUGCACGGGCUGGGCAGAUGGUUGUUUUUUAGGGUGAGGCAUUAAAUCUAAAUUCAACAUCAGUUGUGGUUACAUCUGAGCAUACCAAAAUAGAUGAUAUUCACAAAGGACAGAAUCAAUGUUGCAAUGUGACGCAGAUAGGAAGUGAGGCCAUGGAGUACUUGGUUGAUACAGCUCAAUCAAAUGUUACACUUGCAGACACUCUCCCAAGGCCAAAGGGUAAUACUGCAGAUAUAUUUUUUCUAGUUCAAAGGCUGGGCAACUGCUUGUUUUUUAGGGUGAGGCAGUAAAGCUGAAUUCAACAUCAGUUUUGGUUAAUUCUGACUAUACCAACACAGAGGAUAUUCACAAAAGACAGAAUCAAUGCUACAAUGUGCCGCAGCUAGGAAGUGAGGCCAGAAUGCACUUUGCUGAUGCAGCUCAAUCAAAUGUUACACUUGCAGACACUCUCACAAGGCCAAAGGGUGAUUCUGCCCAGUUUUGUAAAAUGCAAUCUACUGUACCAUUGAAUUCGCCUUCUACGCUUGAAACUGAAAAGAUGGUAUCAAAUUUGCAACCUACUGAUCCAUCUAAUGUACCAGAAUCUGACAAUACAAAAAAACAUGAAGAGAUGCUGAUUGAGCAGUAGCAGAUAUUGCAGAAUACUAACAAUUAAAACACAAUACAGUUUAAUCAAGCAAAUGGUACUAAUUUGGAGGUUUCGGAUGCCGGUAUUGCAGAAUACUAACAAUAAAAACACAAUUCAGUUUAAUCAAGAAAAUGGUACUGAUUUAGAGGUUUCAUAUAGUUUCAGAUCUUAUAUAGAUCCUACUGGUUUAAUAGUUCAACCAGGGAAAAGUUAAUAGUAACAAAUUUACUUGAUGCUUCAAAGAAUCCUAGACAACUACAUUGUAAUGAACUGAAUAAAGCAGCAAUUUUGGUUACUUCUGAGCAUACCAGAAAAGAGGAAACUCGACAGCAUCUCAGCUGCAAUGUGCAGCAGCUGGCAGUAGGGGAGGACAAUGUACCAGCUAGUGCACAUCAAAUUCUCAAGAUAAAUAUGCAAAUAACAGCAAGUAUUACAGAUAAUGAGGUUGCGCAGAACACAUUUCAACUGGAUACCUCUAACCAGCCUGAUAUGUUUCAACAAGGCAGUAUGAUCUCUUUGAAACAAGAUACCUCAAAUCAGACUGAUAUAUUUCAACAAGGCAGUAUGACUUCUUUGAUAAACACAGCAGCUGCAGUUUCUAAUGAAGCCUUUCUUCAGCGUGGUUUUGAUUUACAUCCUCCUACUGCUACACAACAAACCAGUGAAGCUGCUCAACAGUCUAUAAAUAACUGGUCAUCUAUGUCCACCAGAAAAGCAACUUCAAAAACCAAAAUCAAAACACACAGCGCAGAUAAGAGUCCAGCUUUACAUACAAUUCCAAACUCAUUUGUUGCACUUACAAAUGUCAAUAAUGAGAAUGCAAUAUCGACUGGACAGAAUAUGCAGAAGGCCAAAAAUCAGUUUUCUCCAAUCAUACCUUCUUCCAGUACACAUGUGGAGACAACUAUCAAAGAUCAUGGAAAACCAUCAACCUCCAUUGGAAAUAACAAACCAAUAAUCCAAGUUAACAUGAGGGACAUGGUCAUUAAAUCCAAACUGUGGUAAUACCAAAGAGAUUUUGACGAUGACGAGGGCUGGGGAGAAGAGCUGGGUGGUUAUUCAUCUUCAGAAAACAUGAGGGACAUGGUCAUUAAAUUCAAACUGUGGAAAGACCAACGAGAUUUUGACAAUGACGAGGGCUGGGGAGAAGGGCUGGCUGUUUAUUCAUCUUCAGAAGACGACCAAGAGUUUGACGACGAGAGUGCAGGAGAGGACUUUGAUGAUCAAUUCAAGCCAAAAUUUCAAAGGAAAUCAGCGACAAUCAAUGGUCUUGCAAAUCUGAAACCUGCAGCAAACACAAACAGCAACUUGAACCAUAAUGCUCCAGUAUUUGUUCCACGAAAUUCUACAAAAUCAGGCGAAACAUCAGCUGCUGUUCACAACGCAACAUCACUGCCAACAUCUGCCCACAAUCAGGUUGUCCAAUAAAAUCAAUCACAACUUUGAAGGAGACAAAAAUGUCGGAUACAAUGAUGCAACCUUCCCAUAAACUACUGGAUGAGAGGGCAAAAAGACAGAUAUAUGAAUAAGGGGAGGAAGAGGAUAUAUUAAAGCAAUGCCAGGCAGAUGCGUCAAGAAAAGGUGAUCUGUCGCCUAUUCAUAGUAAAACAAGUAAGAAGUCUCGUGAAAGGGAUAGAAGUUGGGACGGCAGGAUGUUUGAAGACUUAAACAUAUGGAGACCUCAAAUGAGGAACGCAAAACAAAAACAAGUCACUCAAAAAAUUAUUACAAAGGCCAAUCGAUCGAGGAACAAAGCAUGAAUUUUUAAGUCAUAUUGAGAAAAAUUGUGGACGAAGACAUUAAUCUACAAAUUAAAAUUUUCACAAAAUUGGAGAAAAGUGAGCACCAAAAUGGUUUCUUCAACUUUUAAUUUUUCCAUCUCAUUAGUAGUUUUCAAUGUAAUAUCAUCACUGAGCAUGUUAUAAACUCGGGAUUAUCAUACUGUUCUUAAUUCUUUCUACUUCUUUCUUUUUACAUGCUUGUUAGUUCAUGAGGCUUUUAUUGGCCUCAAUAGGAUUAAUAAGGUAAGGUUUACGCCGGUUAUUGUUAUAUGGGUAACAAUACCGGUGCUAUACCCCCUUAUUUUAUUUUUCCUAUUUUUUGUAACUCUCUUUUUAAUUAUAUUAAUGAAAUCUAGACCUAGGCGAUUGCCUAGUGGAUUUCCAAAAAAAACUUCUUCCUAGGCUUACCGAUCAAAAAAAGCCCAAUUGGGACAAUGAUCUACCAGCAGAAUUAUACAAAGGAACUAAUCAAAAAGAUUAAAAUGGAGGAAUCCAACGAAAUAGAUACACCUAUUGCAACUGCCACUAAAUUAGAUGUUGAUGAUCCUAGUUCAUCACUUGAUCAAAAGUUGUAUAGGGGUAUGUUGGUUCACUAUUGUAUCUUAUUACCAGCAGACCUGACAUUGUUUUUAGUGUAGGGCUUUGUGCUCGUUUCCAGACAAAUCUAAAGGAGUCACACUUGAUUGUUGUCAAGAGGAUAUUGAGAUAUCUGAAAGGCACCACUGAUUUGUGUCUUUGGUAUCCCAAGGUAGUAAUUUUGAUCUAGUAGGAUAUGCUGAUGUUGAUUAUGUAGGUUUCUUAGUGGACAGGAAGAGCACUUCAGGUAUGGAAAAUUUGCUGGGGUCAUGUCUAGUGUCAUGGGCUACCAAAAAGCAAAGUUAAUUAGCCCUAUCUACUGCUAAAGCUGAAUAUGUUGUUCCUGCUUCUUGUUGUGCUCAAUUUCUAUGGAUCAAACAACAGCUGGUAGACUUUGGAAUUGAAGUGGGAUGUAUUCUGAUAACAGUAGUGCUAUAAGUAUGACAAAGAACCAUGUUCAUCAUAAACGACCGAUCACAUAGAUGUUUGACAACAAUAUUUUGUGAUAGCAAGUAUGACAAAGAACCCUAUUCAUCAUGAAAGGACCAAGCACAUAGAUGUUAGACACCACUUCUUAAGAGAUAACUAUGAGAAAGGUUAAUCUCAAUAGAAUUCUGUGCUACUGAUAAACAAAUAGUUGAUAUCUUCAAUAAAGCACUGAGUAGAGAAAACUUUGAAAGGAAAUGGUUGGAAUUAGGGAUGAUUAAUAUCACCUAAAAGGACCAGUUCAGAAUGCACAAUUAAAAAAUGAAAAAAAAUUGGUUAGGAGUUCUUAAUAUCAUGUAAAUAUCUAAACUAAUUCUUACUCAGUUUCAUACUUUAGUUAGUAUACGCUUGUGACUUGUGUUUAUAUGAUUCACUGAUCUAUUGCAAAGUUUUUCUAUUUUAACAUUUGCGGCAUGAUCAAGAGAAAUUUUACUUGAAGAACCUGGUUCAUCAGUAUAUGCUCAUGAGAAAGUUCAGGUAUAUUUCUAUACUUUGCACAAUUAGAAAGAUAAAUUUUUCAAUCGUGAGCAAAAGUCCUAAUUACACCAGACUUCCAGAAUUCCAUCCGUUGAGCAUUGAACCAAUUUCUAUGAGUAUAAUGAAAAUGGGGCUUUUCCUAAAAACCAGUGUCGCCCAUUAAUCACCAAGAGAUCGGAAUUCUGAUAUGAUUAGAAUUCUAAUUGACUGCUCAAAAAGCCUGUCGUUACUGCACUUAAUCAUAACCCAUCUUUAAAUACACACCACAUCUCUUCUUUUUGCUCAUAACUGUCAUUCACCAUCUCUAAAUUCUAAUCAUCUCCUUCAUCGCCAAAAUUUUCAAAACUCCCAAAAACAAUUUUCGGAAAUUCUCUACCAUGAGAAGCCCUCAAGACAACCCAGGUACUCCCCCGCCAGUAUCUCCUAAUACUUUAUCCUCCACACCUCAUGUUGAAACCCGAAAACCUAGCUUUUGUCGCCAGAAAAUGUUGGCUAGGAAAACUGUAGAUUUUGGCCCUUUGAGACAAGCCUUAAACGGAAAAGUGAAUGCUACCCAAAAGAAGGAAAGUCCAGCAAAAGAAUCUGACUCAAGCUCUGAUUCUGAGGCAUUUCUCUCUGCAAGUGAUGGUGAAGAACAUGGGUCUUCUGACAAUGAAAAGAAUCAAGAAAAUCCAAGUGAGGUAAAUACUUGUUUUGCUUUUUAUGAUGUGGUAGAAAGGGAGGAAAAUAGGUUUGUGUUGGUGGGUUCAGUGAAAAAUAUAGAGGGGACUGGGUCUAACAGAAAGGGAAAGAAAAAGAAAGGAGAAUUUCUUGCUAUCUGUGGUAGUGUAGAAGAGGGUGGCAUCAAGUCAGGGGGAAGUGGUUCUGGUGAGGCUAUUAAAGUCCUUGUUCAUCUGAGUGAGCAGAGACUUGAACCCGGUUCAUCCGUGGAGAACACCUUGGUUGAUAUCUUGAAGAAGGUUGGGGAUAGUUAUUAUCAAAAUAAGCACAAGGCUUCUUCCCAAAAGACCCCAAUCGCUUCCAAACCAUCUAAGAAAAGCAAGGUGUCAUCUUCCAAGUGUAUUGUUCCUUUUUUACCAAAAGGAAGAGCUACAAGGAGCAGGGUCAAGCAAAGCGAGGAAAAACUACAGAAAACUUUAGAGAAGAGUAAGAAAAAGAAGAGGGAAAAAGGAAAAGAAAAGGUUGUGGAAAGUUCUGAGUAUGCUGAAGAAGAGGAUGAGGAGAUAGAACUGGUCCAUCAAGAGAGAGGAAUAACUGUGGAGGUUCACAUUGUCAAACCAAAAAGAACCAAGACUUCUGCAAAGAUGUCUUCAAAAUCUGUAUUUGUUGAACCCUCCUUGGCCAAAAGAACUAGGUCUGCAGUGAAGGGAAAACAAGUAAAAGUUACUGAAGAAGAAGAAGAAGAAGAGUGGAGUGGAGAAGAAGAAGAGGAAGAGUCUGAAAAGGAAUAAUAUUGAUUUUCCAUCUUUGGCAGGAGAAAGAUUCUAAAGGGAAGGAUGCUGAAAGACCUGGAGGAACGAGGCAUGAUUAGCUUGGUGGAUGCUCUAGCUGUACAAGGUUGAAAGGACAUGGUCCUUCAACUGGAUGCAAGGCUGGCAAGAAAGGAGCUGAUCGAGUUCAUGGCAAAUGCCAUUGUGAAAAAUGGGGUAGUUACCAGUGUUGUUAGGGGAGUGAAGAUUUAAUUUGAUGCACCUAAAUUGGGGACAAUUUUGGACAUACCAUGUGAGGGAUAUGAUGAUUACACCAGGCAGAGGUGGCCUUGUCUAGAUGAUCUUCCUAGUGCUCUCCAGAUAACCGGGAACUUUUGUGACACUGAAUCUGCUGAAGAUGUGCCAGAGGCAAGAUUUCUACAGAAAAGUGAGAUGAAUCCUGAGCACAAGGUGCUAUUUGAAUUUGUGAACAACUGUCUGCUGCCCAUAUAGGAGAGGAGUCAUACUGCUAACUACAUGGACUUAGUUCUUCUGGAACGCCUUGUGAGAGGAAAGCACAUUAAUUGGCCUGCCUUCAUUGUCAAGCUGCUGGACAGGGUCAUAAAUGGCUCCAAAGCUCAUGCUAUUUCCAAUGGGUUCAUACUGACGACUGUGCUGGAUAGAUUAAAAGUUCCCUUGAAGAAAAGGGAGAUGGCUUCCAGCAAGGACCAUUUUGGGGUCAAAACCCUGUAGGCUUGUGAUUAUCUCCUCAGUGCAGCCCAGUUGAACCUGGUUCAUCAUUGAAGACUCAAGUGAACAGCAAGGUUAGGGCUUUGGUUCAAGAGUGUGAGACAAUGGAUUCUGGGAUUGUUAGGCUCAAGGCUCGAGUUGCUGAACUUAAAAAUGAGAGAAAUAACCUGAAAGAUGAGCUAGCAAAAGAAAAGGAAAAGGGUGAAGGGGUGCUUCAAACAAUGCUAAAUAUUCUCCAAUCCCGACCCUCUAAUUCCUCCAAGCCUUAGGUCCCCCAGCACUGUCCUUGAACCAGUCUAGUAGCCCCCCUAGUAACCCAGAUUAGGGAUUUUUCUUUGCUUGUUUUUUUGCUUAUGGCUAGUUGUUUUUCUUUCUUUUUUUGGAUUGGUUGUAGAAGUAUUCACUAUCAAUGACAAUAUAUUUUUCUCUUGUUUUGUGAUGAAUUUUUUCUCUAUAGUUAUGUUUUUAUCAAGUUUGAUUAUUGUUUCACUAAACCAGGCUUUCACAUGCAGUUUCCCUAAUGGCCAUGAGUAACUAUUACAAUCUGGGAUUCACAUUAUAUGCAACUUUUUAGUGAUGCCAAAAGGGGAAAGAGAUAUUAGGCAUUACUUUUAUUCUGAAAAAGUAAUAUUUAUAACCUGAUUAAAUAUGGUUCUUAAUGAUGAAUUAAACUAUCUUAUGUAAAAGUGUUGAUAAUUAGCUGAGUUUCACAUGUUCUCUAAUCAGUAAAAGCAUAGAGUUUGUCAACAUCAAAAAGGGAGAAUUUUUUGGCCCAAGCUCAGUUGAAGUUUUAAAGAAUGACAAAUGAACUCAGUGAAGGACCAGGUCCAUAUUAUGAGAUACACUUGUUAUUGCCUAUGCACAUGAGAUGCACGUGAAGAAGAUAAGCCUUUGGAAUCAAGCAGAAAUAUCUUCUGAAUAUCUUCUGAACUGAUCGAAAAGAUUGUGUAUGGGAUAAGGAGAAGAAGUCUCCGUAUGAGAAGAGAACACAUCCGGAUAAGGGUUGGAGUUUGGAUUGGUGUAUGACUCAAACUCAAUGGAGGAUUAGAAAUUGAGUCACAAUCAAACUCCGAUUACUAACCUAAUAUAUAAUUGAGUUGUUCUCUUUUACAGGUAUACAAAUACACAGAAGUUAAGCUAAAUUGAGAGAAAAAGAGCAAGGCAAUUUUGCAAGCAAUUUAUGUGAGAUCAAGUGUGCACUCUUGCAGAUACUUGAACAAGAUAGAAGAAACAGUUCCAUUGUGUUUAUUCUUAUUCUAGUUCAAUUGUAGUAGGUGAUUUAAAACUUUACCUUUCCAACUUUCAUAGAAGAAAUUGUAUUAGGUACUUUGAGUAUUCAAGUUAGAGUUAACUUGAAGGUGUCGCAACAGUUGAGGUUGUGUGCGAAACUGAGAUUAGAAUUACCCCUUUGGUUUACAAGAGUUUUGUAAAUGCUGUUUUGGCUCGUUAAGUUUAGUGGAUGUUUGAAACAAACCUACUGAGUAGUAGGUCGUGAUUUUUUCACCUUUUGAGCCAGAUGUUUUCCACGUAAAAAUCUCUGUGUUCUCUUAUUUUUGUAUUUUAAUUCCGCAAACAGUAGUAGUUAGUACACUUAGAAGAACAGGGUUCUUCUAGUUCAAAAAUUGGGUACCAUACAAAUUACUCCAUUCUUGUGUGAUAUUGAUGUUUGGAUUAUCAAAUACCUUAUUGGGAAUGAGAUUACCUUAGUUACCUAAAAAGAGAGUGAAUCAAUAGUUGACUUUUAUUAUUGUCAGCAUCUUUGUGUCCCCUUUUAAUUUUAAAUAUAUAUCUAAUGUUUAAUUAUUUGCCAUAUCAUUUUUGUGAAAUUCAAUUAGCUUCUUCUACACAUAUAUUUUUGUCAAAAUCUCAAGAUUUCAGUUCCUAACCUUAAAACAGUUGCUUGUUUAGCUUAAUCAAAUUGCAGAAAUUAAACAACAUGGGAAAAGACGUUGAAGAACGGGUAAGCCUAAAUGAAGAUUUCAAGGUAUGACAUGAACUCUUCUAUAUCUUCUGAGUUAUGAAUAUUUUGUACUAAUUAAUUCAAGAUUUAGUCUAAUGAGUUUCAAUUAAUAAAGCUUCUACUUCAUUAAUUGAUUUUGCUUUUUUCCUCUUAACUCUUCAUAUUUAGGAUGGUGAAGUCAUAGAAUCUUUGUUAUCCUCUUUACCAAGAUCACCAAUUAAUAGCAGACCAAAUAGCGUGAUGGCUAAGACAAUUUCAAUUUCUCUCUAUCUGUAUAUGUUAUCAUUAUGACAAUUGGGUUGCAAGUAUGGUUGAUGAAAUUGAAAUUAACUAGAAAAAUG